GGGGGAUAUUGCACAAUGGGGGAAACCCUGAUGCAGCGACGCCGCGUGGAGGAAGAAGGUUUUCGGAUUGUAAACUCCUGUCGUUAGGGACGAUAAUGACGGUACCUAACAAGAAAGCACCGGCUAACUACGUGCCAGCAGCCGCGGUAAAACGUAGGGUGCAAGCGUUGUCCGGAAUUACUGGGUGUAAAGGGAGCGCAGGCGGGAAGACAAGUUGGAAGUGAAAAUCAUGGGCUCAACCCAUGAAUUGCUUUCAAAACUGUUUUUCUUGAGUAGUGCAGAGGUAGAUGGAAUUCCCGGUGUAGCGGUGGAAUGCGUAGAUAUCGGGAGGAACACCAGUGGCGAAGGCGGUCUACUGGGCACCAACUGACGCUGAGGCUCGAAAGCAUGGGUAGCAAACAGGAUUAGAUACCCUGGUAGUCCAUGCCGUAAACGAUGAUUAUUAGGUGUUGGGGGAU
rnacentral:rRNA from 1 species